AAUGGCUGGGGCAGGCGUCAGGGCGAAUAACCUUACGCUGUUUCUCGAGGCUGGCGUGACGGAGCUGCACAGCUCGGCAGGUCAAUGGCUGCCGUCGCCGAUGCGCUUUCGUAACCCAGGGCUGUCGAUGUCAACGGACCCGGAUGCCGAUGAAUAUUCCCGAUACGCCGUUAACGGCGCGUCGGUGGCGGAGAUGAAAACGAUCGUCUCCCGCUACGCGAAAUAACCGUUUUUUACCGCGCAUCAUGUCGCCCAAUGUGAUGCUUGUUUGUACCAGGCCCCUGCCAUUUAAACAGGGGCCUUUUUUU
rnacentral:ncRNA from 1 species